UACGUAGGGACCAAGCGUUGUUCGGAUUUACUGGGCGUAAAGGGCGCGUAGGCGGCCACCGCAAGUCGACUGUGAAAUCUCCGGGCUUAACCCGGAAAGGUCAGCCGAUACUGCGGGGCUAGAGUGCAGAAGGGGCAACUGGAAUUCUCGGUGUAGCGGUGAAAUGCGUAGAUAUCGAGAGGAACACCUGCGGCGAAGGCGGGUUGCUGGGCUGACACUGACGCUGAUGUGCGAAAGCUAGGGGAGCGAACGGG
rnacentral:rRNA from 1 species